rnacentral:rRNA from 1 species
UAAGACCUGCGCUUUUGGAGCGGCCGAUGUCUGAUUAGCUUGUUGGUAAGGUAAAAGCUUACCAAGGCUUCGAUCAGUAGCUGGUCUGAGAGGACGGCCAGCCACACUGGGACUGAGACACGGCCCAGACUCCUACGGGAGGCAGCAGUGGGGAAUUUUGGACAAUGGGGGCAACCCUGAUCCAGCCAUGCCGCGUGAGUGAAGAAGGCCUUCGGGUUGUAAAGCUCUUUCAGCUGGAACGAAACGGUUACGGUUAAUACCCGUGACUACUGACGGUACCGGAAGAAGAAGCACCGGCUAACUACGUGCCAGCAGCCGCGGUAAUACGUAGGGUGCGAGCGUUAAUCGGAAUUACUGGGCGUAAAGGGUGCGCAGGCGGUUUUGUAAGUCAGAUGUGAAAUCCCCGGGCUUAACCUGGGAACU